rnacentral:rRNA from 1 species
AGAGCGAACGCUGGCGGCAGGCCUAACACAUGCAAGUCGAACGGACUCUUCGGAGUUAGUGGCGGACGGGUGAGUAACACGUGGGAACGUGCCUUUAGGUUCGGAAUAGCUCCUGGAAACGGGUGGUAAUACCGAAUGUGCCCUUCGGGGGAAAGAUUUAUCGCCUUUAGAGCGGCCCGCGUCUGAUUAGCUUGUUGGUGAGGUAAUGGCUCACCAAGGCUACGAUCAGUAGCUGGUCUGAGAGGAUGACCAGCCACAUUGGGACUGAGACACGGCCCAAACUCCUACGGGAGGCAGCAGUAGGGAAUCUUGCGCAAUGGGCGAAAGCCUGACGCAGCCAUGCCGCGUGUAUGAUGAAGGUCUUAGGAUUAGUAAAAUCUUUCACCGGUGAAGAUAAUGACUGUAGCCGGAGAAGAAGCCCCGGAUAACUUCGUGCCAGCAGCCGAC